UUCCGGUUGAUCCUGCCGGACCUUACUGCUAUCGGGAUAAGACUAAGCCAUGUUAGUUGUAUGUUAAGGGCGCGGCGUACGGCUCAGUAACACGUAAUUAACCUACCCUUAGGAUGAAAAUAACCCCGGGAAACUGGGAUUAAUUAUCAAUAGAUGAUUGUUCCUGGAAUGGUCUAUCAUUGAAAGAAAUUAGAGCCUAAGGAUGGGAUUGCGUCCGAUCAGGUUGUUGGUGGGGUAAAGGCCCACCAAGCCUAUAACCGGUACGGGCCCUGAGAGGGGGAGCCCGGAGAUGGAAACUGAGACAAGGUUCCAGGCCCUACGGGGUGCAUCAGGCGCGAAAUCUCGACAAUGCGCGAAAGCGUGAUCGGGUUAUCCCGAGUGCCAUCCGAUGAGGAAGGCUUUUCCUUGGUUUUAGGAGCCAUGGGAAUAAAGGGGGGGCAAGAUCUGGUGUCAGCCGCCGCGGUAAUACCAGCCCCCUGAGUGGUAAGGAUGAUUAUUUGGCUUAAAGCGUCCGUAGCCGGCGCAGUAAGUCUCUUGUUAAAUCCAACGAUUCAAUCGUAGGCACGCAAGAGAUACUGCUACGCUAGAAGACGGGAGAGGUCGACGGUAUUCCAGGGGUAGGGGUGAAAUCCUAUAAUCCUUGGAGGACCACCAGUGGCGAAGGCGGUCGACUAGAACGUGCUUGACGGUGAUGGACGAAAGCUGGGGGAGCGGACCGGAUUAGAUACCCGGGUAGUCCCAGCUGUAAACGAUGCGGGCUAGGUGUUGGAAUAGCUACGAGCUAUUUCAGUGCCGCAGAGAAAUUGUUAAGCCCGCCGCCUGGGGAGUACGGCCGCAAGGCUGAAACUUAAAGGAAUUGGCGGGGGAGCACCACAAGGGGUGAAGGCUGCGGUUUAAUUGGAUUCAACGCCGGA
rnacentral:rRNA from 1 species